AACUCUGCUACUAGUUUUUCAUAUUGGGUUCAAAAUCCCGUAGGUGGGGGAUUUUGCAUGCUUGCGUGUUGGCUUUCAUGCGACUUUCUCCCAUGGCUAGGGGAGUUUUUUACUUGUGGCAUCUCCCUUGUGGAAAUCCAUUGAAAAGGGGAUUUAGGGUCAAGGAGAUUUCUCCCCCUUGCAGAAUUCUUGUGAAUUCCCUC
rnacentral:lncRNA from 1 species